UACAUGGGGUGCAAACGUUGCUCGGAAUUAUUGGGCGUAAAGCGCACGUAGGUGGUCACUUAAGUCGGAUGUGAAAGCCCUCGGCUCAACCGAGGAAGUGCACCCGAAACUGAAUGGCUAGAGUAUGGAAGAGGGUCGCGGAAUUUCCGGUGUAGAGGUGAAAUUCGUAGAUAUCGGGAGGAACACCGGUGGCGAAGGCGGCGACCUGGGCCAAUACUGACACUGAGGUGCGAAAGCGUGGGGAGCAAACAGG
rnacentral:rRNA from 1 species